rnacentral:lncRNA from 1 species
GCCCCUAAAGGACAAUGCUGCCGGGAGGGGAACGGAAAAAAAAAAAAAAAAAAAGAAAGAAAAAAAAAGAAAAAAAAGCGGGCCCGAGUCCCGCCGGCCCUCUCCCGCCUUAACCCCGCGACGCGGCGGGAGCUGCCCGCACGGCCCCGAGCCGCAGCGCUCAGCCCCGCUGCGCUGCCCGGAGCCGGCGGCCGCGGUGCGCAGCCGAAAGGUCACAGCGGGGCCCGCGCUGCGCUGUCACGGCCGCCCGAGCUCCGGCUCUCUCUGCCCGCGAGCCGCGCCGCCCGCCGCCCUCCCUCCGCCCGUCCCCUCCGGGCGCGCCCGGCCCGCGGCGCGGCUCCCCCCAGCCUCUCACCUGGCGCCGGGACCCCGCGGGCCGGAGCGAAGCGAAGCGCCGCGGGCGGGGCCGGGCCGGCCGCCAACCGCUCGCACCGGGGCACCCCGGCCGGGCCCCCGGCCCCGCCUCCCGGCCCUGCCCGCCGCCGGCGUUCGCUGUCACCCCCCGGCCGGCCCCUCUCUCCCCUCCCGCCGCUUCCUCUUCCCGCUCCCCCGCCCGGCCCGGGGAGCCGUCCUCCCGCCGCCCGGUCCCGCGGCUCCUCCUUUCGCCCUGCCGCCGGCGGAGGGAAGGAGGGAGGGAGCGAGGGAGGCCUCCCCGGCCCGGCCCGGCCCGGCCCUCGGCGCGGCGGCGGGAAAGGGAGGCCCCGGCCCCGUCCUCCCGCCGCCCCGGCCCUGCCCCUCCCGCCGCCGUACCCGGGCUUUACCUGCCGUGGCGGCGCGGAGCGGGGCCCCGGGGCCUCUGGCAGCCGGAGGAGGCGGCGGACUCCGUCCCGCUGCGGCCGUCCCCGAGUGAGGCGGGCGGGACGGAGCCGGGACCUGCCCCGGGAGGCGUUACGUAAACCGGCGGCGGCGGCGGCUCCCAGCGCCACGGGGAGGGAGGGAAGGGGGGGGGGGGACGGGGGAGGCGGCCGCUCCGUCACCCGGCAACAGGACUCAGCGCCCCGGCGGACCGCGCCGCAGGCCCCGCCCCGUAUCCUUCCGCCCAGAGGGCGGCCCAGAUCCCGCCGCCCAGGCGCGGGGCUGAGGGGAGCCGCUGGCGGGCGGGCGGGCCGGCUGUCAGGGCAGCGGGCAGCCUGUGCGGCUGCAUAUUGGGGAGGAAGGGUGGGGCAGGAGGGGAAGUGUGCCUUUGGCCUGGCGGUGCGCUACAGCCCCGCCCGCCGGGGGAGCGCCUGA